rnacentral:rRNA from 1 species
GUGGGGAAUAUUGGACAAUGGGCGAAAGCCUGAUCCAGCCAUGCCGCGUGUGUGAAGAAGGUCUUCGGAUUGUAAAGCACUUUAAGUUGGGAGGAAGGGCAGUAAGUUAAUACCUUGCUGUUUUGACGUUACCGACAGAAUAAGCACCGGCUAACUUCGUGCCAGCAGCCGCGGUAAUACGAAGGGUGCAAGCGUUAAUCGGAAUUACUGGGCGUAAAGCGCGCGUAGGUGGUUCAGCAAGUUGGAGGUGAAAUCCCCGGGCUCAACCUGGGAACUGCCUCCAAAACUACUGAGCUAGAGUACGGUAGAGGGUAGUUGAAUUUCCUGUGUAGCGGUGAAAUGCGUAGAUAUAGGAAGGAACACCAGUGGCGAAGGCGACUACCUGGACUGAUACUGACACUGAGGUGCGAAAGCGUGGGGAGCAAACAGGAUUAGAAACCCUUGUAGUCC